GGAUGGACAUCUCUAACCCCAGGGGUCUUUUGAUAGGGUGGCUGCAUAUCAGUUGGAACGUUCUGCCUGGCGACAGUGCAUGAAGGACAAGUUGGUUUCUGGCCAUCCCUCUCUCCCAACUGUGGGUUUUAAGACUGUCCAGAUC
ensembl:miRNA